rnacentral:ribozyme from 1 species
ACUGGUCUGAGCCAGUAUAAAUAGAUGCUUAAGCUUAGAGCGUUAUAGCCAGUAUAUGGCUAUAGGUGCAA